GGAUGUGAGGGCGAUCUGGCUGCGACAUCUGUCACCCCAUUGAUCGCCAGGGUUGAUUCGGCUGAUCUGGCUGGCUAGGCGGGUGUCCCCUUCCUCCCUCACAGCUCCAUGUGCGUCCCUCCCGAAGCUGCGGGCUCGGUCGAAGAGGACGACCAUCCCCGAUAGAGGAGGACCGUUCUUUGGUCAAGGGUAUACGAGUAGCUGCGCUCCCCUGCUAGAACCUCCAAACAAGCUCUCAAGAAGAGUUAGAAAAAUGACACAAAUAAGGCCAUAAAUUAGCAAGUGUGUAAGAAAUGGACUU
rnacentral:snRNA from 1 species